rnacentral:lncRNA from 1 species
CCGUAAGAAUUCCUACUUCAAACCUCAGACUUCAAAUAACUGCCAGAACUACUUGACUGAGGUAUCAACCUAUGUUAUCUCCUCCACCAGAAAGCCCAUGAUAUUGACAUAAAAGUGGCUGUUGCUGUAUUGGACACUUGCUCCCAUCUACUUUCUUCUCUAGAAUCCACGGCUCUGGAAUGAGUCAUUUUUUUUAGAAGCAGAGGUGGAGCCACUGAGGAAACACAGGUGAGCCCUCCCCAGUGUGUACUCACUGGUCCCCAACAGAAGAACCACUGCCACAUCCACUGAA